GACGAACGCUGGCGGCGUGCCUAAUACAUGCAAGUCGAACGCUAAAGGAGGAGCUUGCUUCUCUGGAUGAGUGGCGAACGGGUGAGUAACGCGUAGGUAACCUGCCUGGUAGCGGGGGAUAACUAUUGGAAACGAUAGCUAAUACCGCAUAAUAGUAGAUGUUGCAUGACAUUUGCUAAAAAGGUGCAAUUGCAUCACUACCAGAUGGACCUGCGGUGUUUUAGCAUGUUGGGGGGGUAACGGCCCACCCAGGCGACGAUACCUAGCCGGGCCGAGAGGGGUGUCCGGCCCCCUUGGACCUGGACCCGGCUCAGACCUCCUCGGGAGGCCGCCGGUGGGAAACUUUGGCCAUUGACGGAAGUCUUACCGAGGAACGCCGGGGGAGUGAAGAAGGUUCUUCGAUCUGAAAGCUCUGUUGUGAGAGAAGAACGGGUGUGAGGGUGGAAAGUUCACACUGUGACGGUACCUUACCAGAAAGGGCCGGCUAACUACGUG
rnacentral:rRNA from 1 species